rnacentral:rRNA from 1 species
UUACACAUGCAAGUCGAGCGGUAACAGAGGAGGAAGCUUGCUUCCUACGGCUGACGAGCGGCGGACGGGUGAGUAAUACUUAGGAAUCUACCUAGUAGUGGGGGAUAGCUCGGGGAAACUCGAAUUAAUACCGCAUACGUCCUACGGGAGAAAGGGGGCAACUUGUUGCUCUCGCUAUUAGAUGAGCCUAAGUCGGAUUAGCUAGAUGGUGGGGUAAAGGCCUACCAAGGCGACGAUCUGUAGCUGGUCUGAGAGGAUGAUCAGCCACACCGGGACUGAGACACGGCCCGGACUCCUACGGGAGGCAGCAGUGGGGAAUAUUGGACAAUGGGGGCAACCCUGAUCCAGCCAUGCCGCGUGUGUGAAGAAGGCCUUUUGGUUGUAAAGCACUUUAAGCAGUGAAGAAGACCUAACGGUUAAUACCCGUUAGCGAUGACAUUAGCUGCAGAAUAAGCACCGGCUAACUCUGUGCCAGCAGCCGCGGUAAUACAGAGGGUGCAAGCGUUAAUCGGAAUUACUGGGCGUAAAGCGAGCGUAGGUGGCUUGAUAAGUCAGAUGUGAAAUCCCCGGGCUUAACCUGGGAACUGCAUCUGAUACUGUCAGGCUAGAAUAGGUGAGAGGAAGGUAGAAUUCCAGGUGUAGCGGUGAAAUGCGUAGAGAUCUGGAGGAAUACCGAUGGCGAAGGCAGCCUUCUGGCAUCAUAUUGACACUGAGGUUCGAAAGCGUGGGUAGCAAACAGGAUUAGAUACCCUGGUAGUCCACGCCGUAAACGAUGUCUACUAGUCGUUGGGUCCCUUGAGGACUUAGUGACGCAGCUAACGCAAUAAGUAGACCGCCUGGGGAGUACGGCCGCAAGGUUAAAACUCAAUGAAUUGACGGGGGCCCGCACAAGCGGUGGAGCAUGUGGUUUAAUUCGAUGCAACGCGAGGAC